CCUACGGGCGGCUGCAGCGGGGAAUAUUGCACAAUGGGCGCAAGCCUGAUGCAGCCAUGCCGCGUGUGUGAAGAAGGCCUUCGGGUUGUAAAGCACUUUCAGCGGGGAGGAAGGCGUUAAGGUUAAUAACCUUGGCGAUUGACGUUACCCGCAGAAGAAGCACCGGCUAACUCCGUGCCAGCAGCCGCGGUAAUACGGAGGGUGCAAGCGUUAAUCGGAAUUACUGGGCGUAAAGCGCACGCAGGCGGUCUGUCAAGUCGGAUGUGAAAUCCCCGGGCUCAACCUGGGAACUGCAUUCGAAACUGGCAGGCUAGAGUCUUGUAGAGGGGGGUAGAAUUCCAGGUGUAGCGGUGAAAUGCGUAGAGAUCUGGAGGAAUACCGGUGGCGAAGGCGGCCCCCUGGACAAAGACUGACGCUCAGGUGCGAAAGCGUGGGGAGCAAACAGGAUUAGAUACCCGGUAGUC
rnacentral:rRNA from 1 species